AGGAACUACUCUGUAAUUUGUAAUGCACAUUUAAUCUGCAUACAAAAUGCAUUUUGCAGACAUUCUAUAGAUUGAUUAACAGAAAUGCUGCCAUUAGUCUCAGUCCAGAAGAAUUAUCUUACAGUAAUUCUACCACAGAUUUAUAUCUCCUAGUUUUUUGUGUCUGUUGUAUAUAAACGUUUUCCUUUCAUUUUUGAAGCUUGAUAAAUAUUGAUGAUGUAUCUGAUGUGAAUGUUAUCAGAUAAUCUGAAGCCCAAUGGAUAAGGCACCGGCCUCCUAAGCCAGAGAUUACGGGUUCGUGUCCCGUCGGAGGUAUGAUUUAACACCUUUUUAAAAGGUGGUGCUCCAGCAUGGCUCCUAGUUUGUGUCUGUUGUAUAUAAACGUUUUCCUUUCAUUUUUGAAGCUUGAUAAAUAUUGAUGAUGUAUCUGAUGUGAAUGUUAUCAGAUAAUCUGAAGCCCAAUGGAUAAGGCACCGGCCUCCUAAGCCAGAGAUUGUGGGUUCUUGUCCCGUCGGAGGUAUGAUUUAACACCUUUUUAAAAGGUGGUGCUCCGGCAUGGCCACAGUCAAAUGACUGAAACAAGUAAAAGGGUGUUAGCUACUGAGGUUUCAUAAAAUGCUCUCAGACAUGUCCAUUGUACAUGUAUACACAUGCACCUGUAUGCAUUAUACGUACAUAGAGCAAAGGGUGAUGACCCUUUUCAGUCAUAAAUGACCAUGGGAUUGCACUUCUGAGA